CCUACGGGAGGCAGCAGUAGGGAAUCUUCCGCAAUGGACGAAAGUCUGACGGAGCAACGCCGCGUGAACGAAGAAGGCCUUCGGGUCGUAAAGUUCUGUUGUUAGGGAAGAACAAGUAUCGGAGUAACUGCCGGUACCUUGACGGUACCUGACCAGAAAGCCACGGCUAACUACGUGCCAGCAGCCGCGGUAAUACGUAGGUGGCAAGCGUUGUCCGGAAUUAUUGGGCGUAAAGCGCGCGCAGGCGGUUCCUUAAGUCUGAUGUGAAAGCCCCCGGCUCAACCGGGGAGGGUCAUUGGAAACUGGGGAACUUGAGUGCAGAAGAGGAGAGCGGAAUUCCACGUGUAGCGGUGAAAUGCGUAGAGAUGUGGAGGAACACCAGUGGCGAAGGCGGCUCUCUGGUCUGUAACUGACGCUGAGGCGCGAAAGCGUGGGGAGCGAACAGGAUUAGAUACCCUGGUAGUCCACGCCGUAAACGAUGAGUGCUAAGUGUUAGAGGGUUUCCGCCCUUUAGUGCUGCAGCAAACGCAUUAAGCACUCCGCCUGGGGAGUACGGCCGCAAGGCUGAAACUCAAAGGAAUUGACGG
rnacentral:rRNA from 1 species